CGCCGCCGUUGAUGACAAGGAGGUGGCCAGGAGUAAUGCCGCCUAGCGUGGAUCUGGCGGUGGCGACCCAUCCCCACGCGGAUCCAGUGCCGGUGACGACGAUGGGCGGCGGGGGCGGCGGAUCUGACGGCGACG
rnacentral:snoRNA from 1 species